GCAAACUUGGUCAUUUAGAGGAAGUAAAAGUCGUAACAAGGUUUCCGUAGGUGAACCUGCGGAAGGAUCAUUAACGUAUCUCUGGCGGCGAGGGUGCGCCCCGCUCCGGCCCCGGCGGCCGUGAAGCGGGUGCGCCCGAGCCUGCCCAACCCCUCGCAAACCCACUGUGCACUCAUGUCGGCCGGGGCCCUCCCGCAUCGGGGGCGGCCUCUAGCCGGAUCACAAACUCAAAAAGAGUGAAAGAAUGACGAGCGGACAGCGUGCCGCCUAAAUCUCAUGACAACUUUCAACAACGGAUCUCUUGGCUCUCGCAUCGAUGAAGAACGCAGC
rnacentral:misc_RNA from 1 species